rfam:Tetraodon nigroviridis, WGS project CAAE01000000 data, contig: CNS0BT7L, chromosome: undetermined
GACCUCGUGGUGCAACGGUAGUGCGUUUGACUCCAGAUUAGGAGGUUGUGUAUUCAAAUCACACCAAGGUCC